UUUGGAAUUUGCGGAAACCUAUUCUUUUAGGCGCGGCAUUGUUUACGAUUCCUGGUCGAUUUCCGCCAUGGGUGAACCUCGAUCUCAGCCGGUUUGCGCUCAGGAAGCUCUCGAUUUGCUUAAUUGCGUUACGGAAUCUCCCUUCGAUCAACAGAAAUGCUACCGUCUCCUUCAUUCUUUGCGAGAAUGCGUGAUUAGCAAGAAAGCGAAGAAGUUCUCUCUGGCUGAUGAAGAACAAACAAAACAAAUGAAGAAUGCUUGAAGGAAGGAAUUUUGUAAGAGAAGGAUAUUGUUCAUCUUAAAAAUCAUGAUUCAAAUGAGGAAGAAGAAGAAGAAGAAGAAGAACUAACCAUCGCUAGCAGCAGGAGGUUGGGCCGGAGCCAGAGAUUGAGCACAAGCAGGGAGAAGCAUAGCCAAAACAAAAACAACACCAAAGAAGACGCCAAAGGGGAUCUUAUUAGCAACGACCGCCAUUGUUGAAGGAAGAAGAAGCUUCUAGGUGAAAAAACAAGGUAAUUGAAAUGGAAGAACGAAAUCUCUCUCUGCAACGUCUCUCAGAAAUGGAAGAAGUUGAGACGAAACCUCCUGCAGGGGCUCCGGAGAGCCGCAGCAGAGAGAGAUUAAAUAGGCCGAGUUGAUGAUUUGAAGCUGUCAAAAGGGAGGGGUGGUUGAGGACCACCGGCCAGUUGACAGUUCCGGAGACAGCGACGACGGCGUGGCAAUGGCGGUGUGGCUCUCAAUCAAAUGAGGCUCUUGAUUUUAUAGCGCCCAUUUGGUCUCAGGCCUUAACGUUGCAACUGCAAUGGCCUGUAAAUCGCUGGUUUCAAAGCUUCUUUUUUGGGGGUUUGUUUGAAAUGGUCAAUGGGCUUCAUUUGGAUUCUCAUUGUUCGUUUUUCUGUUUUUUUCCUCCGUCUUUCCAUUAUUUUAGACGUCCAUCCUGAAUUUUGCCA